GUCGAACGAAGCUUUCGGGCUUAGUGGCGCACGGGUGCGUAACGCGUAUGCAAUUUACCUUUUACAGGGGGACAACACUAGGAAACUGGUGCUAAUACCGCGUAAUAAAUAGAGAGGCAUCUUUUUAUUUUAAAAGAAUUUCGGUAAGAGAUAAGCAUGCGUCCCAUUAGCUAGUUGGUAAGGUAACGGCUUACCAAGGCCACGAUGGGUAGGGGAACUGAGAGGUUUAUCCCCCACACUGGUACUGAGAUACGGACCAGACUCCUACGGGAGGCAGCAGUAAGGAAUAUUGGGCAAUGGGCGAGAGCCUGACCCAGCCAUGCCGCGUGCAGGAUGACGCUCCUCGUUGGGUGUAAACUGCUUUUAUUAGGGAAGAACAAGUUUCUGCGGAGACAACUGACGGUACCUAAUGAAUAAGCACCGGCUAACUACGUGCCAGCAGCCGCGGUAAUACGUAGGGUGCAAGCGUUGUCCGGAUUUAUUGGGUUUAAAGGGUGUGUAGGCGGUCUAGUAAGUUUUGGGUGAAAGCCCACCGCUCAACGGUGGAACUGCCUGAGAUACUGCUAGACUUGAGUAUAGUUAAAGUUACUAGAAUUGGUGGUGUAGCGGUGAAAUGCAUAGAUACCACCAGGAAUACCAAUUGCGAAGGCAGGUAACUAGGCUAUAACUGACGCUGAGGCACGAAAGCAUGGGUAGCGAACAGGAUUAGAUACCCUGGUAGUCCAUGCUGUAAACGAUGAGGACUCGGUGUUGGC
rnacentral:rRNA from 1 species